UCUCCGACAACUGUCUGUCAUGUGCUUUGAUAUGUGCAGCAUGCUGUGAUGUCACGUGCAUAUAACAUGCUGUACAUAUAGUUUACAUGAUAAAAAGUAAUCUUAACAUUAACAAAUGCUUUUAGUUUUAAUAAUUUAUACAGGCCUUUGAA